GAUGAACGCUGGCGGCGUGCCUAACACAUGCAAGUCGAGCGGAAACCAGCAAGCAGCAAUGCGCGGUGGUUUUAGCGGCGGACGGGUGAGUAACACGUGAGCAAUCUGCCUUCUGCAGGGGAAUAACAUUGUGAAAACAGUGCUAAUACCGCAUGACAUCCCUUUUGGACAUCCAGAGGGGAUCAAAGGAGCAAUCCGGCAGGAGAUGAGCUCGCGUCCGAUUAGCUAGUUGGCGGGGUAACGGCCCACCAAGGCGACGAUCGGUAGCCGAACUGAGAGGUUGAUCGGCCACAUUGGGACUGAGACACGGCCCAGACUCCUACGGGAGGCAGCAGUGGGGAAUAUUGGGCAAUGGGGGCAACCCUGACCCAGCAACGCCGCGUGAAGGACGAAGGCCUUCGGGUUGUAAACUUCUUUGAUCAGGGACGAACAAUGACGGUACCUGAAGAACAAGCCACGGCUAACUACGUGCCAGCAGCAGCCGCGGUAA
rnacentral:rRNA from 1 species